rnacentral:tRNA from 1 species
GACAAUGUGAUGUACUGGUUUAAGCACUGGACUAUGAAUCUGGAGACCAGGGUUCAAAUCCCUGCUCAGCCA